CCUACGGGGUGCAGCAGUGAGGAAUAUUGGUCAAUGGCCGCAGGGCUGAACCAGCCAAGUCGCGUGAGGGAUGACGGUCCUAUGGAUUGUAAACCUCUUUUGUCAGGGAGCAAAGGGCGCCACGUGUGGCGCUUUGCGAGUACCUGAAGAAAAAGCAUCGGCUAACUCCGUGCCAGCAGCCGCGGUAAUACGGAGGAUGCGAGCGUUAUCCGGAUUUAUUGGGUUUAAAGGGGGCGCAGGCGGAAUGUCAAGUCAGCGGUAAAAUUUCGGGGCUCAACCCCGUCGUGCCGUUGAAACUGGCGUUCUUGAGUGAGCGAGAAGUAUGCGGAAUGCGUGGUGUAGCGGUGAAAUGCAUAGAUAUCACGCAGAACUCCGAUUGCGAAGGCAGCAUACCGGCGCUCAACUGACGCUCAUGCACGAAAGCGUGGGUAUCGAACAGGAUUAGAUACCCGAGUAGUC
rnacentral:rRNA from 1 species